GUCCUUAGUUACCAGCACGUUAUGUGGGCACUCUAAGGAGACUGCCGGUGACAACCGGAGGAAGGUGGGGAGUGACGUCAAGUCAUCAUGGCCCUUACGGCCUGGGCUACACACGUGCUACAAUGGUCGGUCAAAGGGUUGCCAAGCCGCGAGGUGGAGCUAAUCCCAUAAAACCGAUCGUAGUCCGGAUCGCAGUCUGCAACUCGACUGCGUGAAGUCGGAAUCGCUAGUAAUCGUGAAUCAGAAUGUCACGGUGAAUACGUUCCCGGGCCUU
rnacentral:rRNA from 1 species